AUGGUUGCAGCUAAACUCUGCAGGACAGUGGCCCUCCAGGACCGAGUUUGGCCAGCCCUGGUCUAGACAAUACUUCUUGAUUUAAGAAUUUUUAGAAAUUUGGACUGGAAACAAGAAGAAAAAUCUAAGCCUCACUGAGUCAUUGGAUUUUAUAAAAAAAUCUUAUUUUGUGUUCUGAAGAUGAACGAAGGUCUUACAGGUGUGGUUCAACAUGAGGCUUACCUCACAUAUCUUCAUGAAUUUUGAAGGAGUCUCUCGCAUGUACCACGGCAGGCCCAGCAAUGCUGCUGUCCUCAUCCGUUGGUUUGUUGUCUGUAAAAUAUAGGAUGGUUAAAGUACCAACUUUUUUCAUUUAUCCUCCCCCCCCCCGUCUGUAUUUGAUGCUUUUUAGAAAAAAUAAAAACACAAAAACAUUCAUUUUAAAUUUGCACAUUUACACUUGUAUAAUUUUGUUGUAAAUAAAUCACCAGUGAUGUGGUGCAA